rnacentral:rRNA from 1 species
UACAGAGGUCUCAAGCGUUGUUCGGAUUCAUUGGGCGUAAAGGGCGCGUAGGCUGCGGGGUAAGUCGGGUGUGAAAUCUCAGAGCUCAACUCUGAAACCGCACUCGAUACUGCUUUGCUUGAGGACUGGAGAGGAGAUUGGAAUUCACGGUGUAGCAGUGAAAUGCGUAGAUAUCGUGAGGAAGACCAGUGGCGAAGGCGGAUCUCUGGACAGUUCCUGACGCUGAGGCGCGAAGGCCAGGGGAGCAAACGGG